ensembl:lncRNA
GGGGGGGGUGUCAUCUUAACGGGUCAAACUACUGAAGAUGCGCGGGGGGGGCGGCGGACUACCGGGGGACAUCAGUGAGUUGUGUCGCGGUAAAUGAGUUAGUUACGGUUUGAGUUACAACGACAGACGUCUCCGUUAAUGCGUCGAUGCACCGCAGCAAACACUCGCAGCCUCGAUACGGCGGUCACCCCCCCUCCCUCCCUCCCUCCCUCCCCCUCCCCGGGGGACGGUGCGUGAACCCGGCCCGGGUUCGGCCCUGCUGCUCCACAGGACGGAAGAAAAAAAAAAAAAAAAUCCCACCUUUCCCAAAUCCCGAUGAGCUAGCGUUAGCCUAGCCGCGGUAGCAUCGCGGCUAGGCUAACGCUAGCAACAGCGAACCCAGCGGGAGAAAAGCGGUUAAAAGAACCAGCGGCAGCUCGCUGGUCCGUUUAAAAACGCAACGCUCGUUAGCAGCGCGUCGCCCGCUUCAGGGGCCGCGGUUCGCCCAACGGGGGGGAAACGAGUGUCGGCAAAAAGAGAAGCGAAUGGAAGUCCGGGUCCCAGAUGCGUUCCCCUGCCCACCUCGUAACAUGGUCGCUCCCGGAUCCACAUACCACGGGAAGAGAGCAGGACGCGUCCCCGCGCUACCGGCCAGGCGGAGAAACCGUCCCGCGUCGACAUCCACGAUCCGCCUCCGCCAGAGAGCGAGGUGGUUCCCGGCUCGGGUUCCGCUGCCCGGGGAGUCCUGCGCGGCUCCGGGCGGCCGGUGAGUUGGAGAGUCGGUCGGAGAGGCAGUGGCCGCCACUGGUGCAGGCGCUGCACCUCCUGCACCAUCAGCACCUCCUGCACCAUCAGCACCACCUGCACCAUCAGCACCAUCAGCAUCUCCUGCACCACCUGCACCAUCAGCAUCUCCUGCACCAUCAGCACCUCCUGCACCAUCAGCACCAUCUGAUGACCAUCUGAAGGGA